UACGUAGGGGGCGAGCGUUGUCCGGAUUUAUUGGGCGUAAAGAGCUCGUAGGCGGUUUGGCAAGUCGGGUGUGAAAACUCCGGGCUCAACUCGGAGACGCCACUCGAUACUGCUAUGACUCGAGUCCGGUAGGGGAGUGCGGAAUUCAUGGUGUAGCAGUGAAAUGCGUAGAGAUCAUGAGGAAGACCAGUGGCGAAGGCGGGUCUCUGGACAGUUCCUGACACUGAGACACGAAGGCCAGGGGAGCAAACGGG
rnacentral:rRNA from 1 species